rnacentral:tRNA from 2 species
GGCUGGGUAGCUCAGCUGGUUAGAGCGUGGGAUUCAUAACCCCAAGGUCGAGUGUUCAAGUCACUCUCCAGCCACCA